rnacentral:rRNA from 1 species
UACGGAGGAUGCGAGCGUUAUCCGGACUUAUUGGGUUUAAAGGGUGCGUAGGCGGAUUGAUAAGUUAGAGGUGAAGUGUCCGAGCUCAACUCGGGAACUGCCUCUAAUACUGUUGAUCUAGAGAGUAGAUGCGGUAGGCGGAAUGUAUGGUGUAGCGGUGAAAUGCUUAGAGAUCAUACAGAACACCGAUUGCGAAGGCAGCUUACCAAUCUAUAUCUGACGUUGAGGCACGAAAGCGUGGGGAGCAAACAGG